UCCAAUAAAACCACCAAUUAUAUGCCUUUCAAAGGAUGUCAUCUUCUGAAAGCGUUCCACAUGGCUAUAAUCUUAUUACCUCUGGUUGAAGUAGUCACAGACCAAACUAAACGGAACUGGACCAAGGGAAGAGGACACAGAAGGUAAAAGGAAGCCAGACCAGCAUGUUCUCCCACUCUAGUGCUCCUACCAAGAGGCUUUGAUAAGCAAUCACAAUUGUCCCCAGUGACAUGAAAGAAAAAGUGAAGCACCCUGUAGGGAUGCAUAGCAUGACAUCUACGUAGACUUGGGUCAUGGAAGGAAACUGUCACCACAUACAAGUUCAAGGGAAAUGUUCAGCCUCCAGGCCGCUGAAUGAAGCUCUGCCCAGGCCUUAGGAAAAGGUGAAACCCCAACUAGCAGGGGCCCCAGUUCACCAUAUCCAGGAAGGUGUCCUUGAACCAGAAAUACCCACGUUGUACUCCGACAUGAACAAGAAAUAGAUUUCUAUUAUAUUAAGCAACAGAAAUUUUCAGAUAUAUCAGUUCUCGCAGCAGGAAGGAUGUAUUGAUAAUGGCAACAUGGAUGGAGCUCAAAACAUCACAUUUAAUGAAAAAAGAGACUUACAUAAAAAAAUUAUAGACUAUAUUAUUACAUUCAAAUGAAGUUCAAGAACAAGCAAAAGUUGUGGAAAAAUAUCAGAAAACUUGCUUCUGCUGGAGGGGUAGGAUGGGAUUUGACUGGGAAGAGGCCUAGGGGAACAUGCUGGAAUGAUAUUAAUGUUCUAUUUCUUGAUGGAGGUUUGGGUUCCACAGGUGUAUGUAUUUGCUAAAAGUUAGCAAAUGUAGAGUUAAGGUUUGUGUUCUUCCUUGUGCAAUACAUUUUACACCAAAGGAAAGGCUGUAAACAAAUAUUGAACUGUAGUUAAUCAUAUGU
rnacentral:lncRNA from 10 species